rnacentral:lncRNA from 1 species
UAGACCUUAGUUCUUCCUUUGAUCCCCUCCCCUCAUAUUUAUAGGUUUCUAAUUUCCGCUGGAUAAUGAAUAUCGCUCUUCAUUAUAAUUAUGUUAAAAGGUACCAGCAUGAUGAUUCAGAAACCCUUGAAGAUACAGUCAUAUUUUCAGCAACAGAUGGAUUUAACACUGCAGAUGGAGUGUUAAGAGUGCAGAUUAUGCCGGCGAAUGAUGAGCCUCCAAAGCUGCAGCCAAGAUUAAAGGCAGGACUGGAGUGUCUGGAGGGAGGCAAGUAUCAGCCCCAAAUACCUGCAUGCAACAGAUGCUGGCAGCAGUGACAUGGAGCUGAUGUAUGUGACUACCCAAGCUCCAGCACAUGAGGUGAUGCAAAGGGCAAAAGUCACAGUGGAUAAAUUUUCCCAACUGAAUAUAAUUCAGAGAUCCAUUUCCUAUAUCCAAACUGAUAAUACAGA